rnacentral:sRNA from 1 species
UGGGGACAGGAAGCUGCCCCUGGCGGGACAGGUCCUGCUGAAGUCCGGCUACGCCUUCGUGGACUACCCCGACCAGAACUGGGCCAUCCGCGCCAUCGAGACCCUCUCGGGUAAAGUGGAAUUGCAUGGGAAAAUCAUGGAAGUUGAUUACUCAGUCUCUAAAAAGCUAAGGAGCAGGAAAAUUCAGAUUCGAAACAUCCCUCCUCACCUGCAGUGGGAGGUGUUGGAUGGACUUUUGGCUCAAUAUGGGACAGUGGAGAAUGUGGAACAAGGUAAUAAGUGAGGAAGCCUUUUGGGUUUUGGAGAGAGAGAUUAUCUGUUAUUUCUUAUAGGUUAGGUCAACUCCAGAGAGAAAUAGUAAGUUCAUAUUUCUUUGAAAUAAGCUUCCUAGAGUAUAUGUAUUUACAUCUAUGUAAGAUGUAUCUUACAUAGAUGUGAGAGAUAUCUGUCUCUUUCUAUCUAUGUCUAU